AACGAACGCUGGCGGCAUGCCUAACACAUGCAAGUCGAACGAGACCUUCGGGUCUAGUGGCGCACGGGUGCGUAACGCGUGGGAAUCUGCCCUUGGUUCGGAAUAACAGUUAGAAAUGACUGCUAAUACCGGAUAAUGUCUUCGGACCAAAGACUUAUCGCCCAGGGAUGAGCCCGCGUAGGAUUAGCUAGUUGGUGAGGUAAAGGCUCACCAAGGCGACGAUCCUUAGCUGGUCUGAGAGGAUGAUCAGCCACACUGGGACUGAGACACGGCCCAGACUCCUACGGGAGGCAGCAGUGGGGAAUAUUGGACAAUGGGCGAAAGCCUGAUCCAGCAAUGCCGCGUGAGUGAUGAAGGCCUUAGGGUUGUAAAGCUCUUUUACCCGGGAUGAUAAUGACAGUACCGGGAGAAUAAGCCCCGGCUAACUCCGUGCCAGCAGCCGCGGUAAU
rnacentral:rRNA from 1 species